AUAGAUACCCGGGUAGUCCACGCCGUAAACGAUGAGUGCUAAGUGUUGGAGGGUUUCCGCCCUUCAGUGCUGCAGCUAACGCAUUAAGCACUCCGCCUGGGGAGUACGGUCGCAAGACUGAAACUCAAAGGAAUUGACGGGGGCCCGCACAAGCGGUGGAGCAUGUGGUUUAAUUCGAAGCAACGCGAAGAACCUUACCAGGUCUUGACAUCUCCUGACCGCCCUGGAGACAGGGUCUUCCCUUCGAGGACAGGAUGACAGGUGGUGCAUGGUUGUCGUCAGCUCGUGUCGUGAGAUGUUGGGUUAAGUCCCGCAACGAGCGCAACCCUUGGUUCUAGUUGCCAGCAUUCAGUUGGGCACUCUAGAGCGACUGCCGGCGACAAGUCGGAGGAAGGUGGGGAUGACGUCAAAUCAUCAUGCCCCUUAUGACCUGGGCUACACACGUGCUACAAUGGAUGGUACAAAGGGCAGCGAAGCGGCGACGCAUGAGCGAAUCCCAGAAAACCAUUCUCAGUUCGG
rnacentral:rRNA from 1 species